rnacentral:rRNA from 1 species
CCUACGGGAGGCAGCAGUGGGGCAUAUUGCACACUGGGGGGAACCCUGAUGCAGCGACGCCGCGUGGGUGAAGGAGUAUUUCGGUAUGUAAAGCCCUAUCAGCAGGGAAGAACAAUGACGGUACCUGACUAAGAAGCACCGGCUAAAUACGUGCCAGCAGCAGCGGUAAUACGUAUGGUGCAAGCGUUAUCCGGAUUUACUGGGUGUAAAGGGAGCGCAGGCGGCGCGUUAAGCCUGGUGUGAAAGCCCGCGGCCCAACCGCGGGACUGCAUUGGAAACUGUACGGCUGGAGUGCAGGAGAGGUAAGUGGAAUUCCUAGUGUAGCGGUGAAAUGCGUAGAUAUUAGGAGGAACACCAGUGGCGAAGGCGGCUUACUGGACUGUAACUGACGUUGAGGCUCGAAAGCGUGGGGAGCAAACAGGAUUAGAUACCCCUGUAGUC